UACGUAGGGGGCAAGCGUUGUCCGGAUUUAUUGGGCGUAAAAGGCUUGUAGGUGGCCACGCCAAGUCGGAUGUGAAAUCUCCCGGCUCAACUGGGAGGGGUCAUUCGAUACUGGUGGGCUCGAGGCCGGUAGGGGGAAGCGGAAUUCCCGGUGUAGUGGUGGAAUGCGUAGAUAUCGGGAGGAACACCAGUGGCGAAGGCGGCUCACUGGACCGGAACUGACGCUGAGGCGCGAAAGCGUGGGGAGCAAACGGG
rnacentral:rRNA from 1 species